rnacentral:snoRNA from 1 species
UUGCACUGUUCGUAACCUGUUAACAGUAUCUUUCUGAUAAUGGGUUCCAUUCCAGUGCUACAUGAUACCCCAAGAUAAUAGAAGGCUGGCUGUUUUGUUUGCCUGUCCCCUUUAUUUUGGGGGACAUAA